GCCGGGUGUGAUGGUGCACACCUGUAAUCCCAGCUACUUGGGAGGCUGAGGCAGGAGAAUCGCUUGAACCCAGAGGCAGAGGCUGCCGUGAGCUGAGAUCAUGCCACUGCACUCUUGUCUGGGUAACAGAGUGAGACUCUGUCUCAA
ensembl:misc_RNA Metazoa_SRP Metazoan signal recognition particle RNA